UCCCCCCACGUCACAUCAAAAAGUGGUACAUGGACCUAUCAAAAUAAAAGUCAAGCUGACAAUAUUAGUAUAAGUGCAGUCUUCCAACAUACAGUAAAUACAUCUACAAAAGAAAGACCUCUAGUCCCUAUACAACCGUCUAAUCUGAUCAUACUACAAAAACUAUACGACCUGAGUGAUCUCCACGCUUCCCGCAAGAUCCUCAUGACACAGCUCCAGUCAGGUGUGUCCAACUACCUCCCCAUCUAUAGGAUACUAACCGGUGGGAAGAUCCUGGUUCUCAUCUGAGGGCAAAACCCAAAUUUCCACAAUAGUUGUAAAUGGUCACCAACCGAAAUUAACAAAUACCAUAUAGCAUUUAAAUUUCAAAUGCACAAAAUAACCUUUCAACUUAGCAUACUCUUUGAAAGGGUUUUCAUAUGCCAAACAUGCAUAAUCAAAGUUGAAAAAUGAAGUUUUUAACAAAACUACACUGUCGUAUUUGAAUAUAGCAUCCUUGUAUUCGAAUACUGUGUUAUUUUGUAAGUCAGUAGCAAAAUCAGGACAACUGUAUUCGACUACAACCUCCUUGUAUUCGAAUACAACUACAGAAAAAUGUAGAAUUCGGUUUCGAAAUGGUUUCACAAUCAAUCAACACUAACAAACAAAUCCAAAACAAUCACACUUACCAAUUACGACACAAUCACAACAACAACUAAGUAUACAUAGGCAAUCAUCACAUUAUAUCAAACAUGACUCGCAUGCCAAACACCCUAAUGCAAUGCGUAUAUGCCCAAAAUGCAUGAAUUCUGGAAUUCCAACUAAAACCCUCCUCGAAUGGGCGUAAAUCAUAAAUGUACCGCCUAUCACAUACCAGUACUAAUUACCGAGGUGCCACCUAUCACGAGUCAGCACGAUUUACUAAAAAGCGUAAAUCGUAAACGUACCGCCUAUCACAGACCAGUACUGUUUACCGAGGUGCCACCUAUCACGGGUCUGCAUAAUUUACAAAAACGUAAACCAUAAAUGUACCGCCUAUCACAUACCAAAGUACUAUUUAUCAAGGUGCCACCUAUCACAGGUCUGCACGAUUUAAAAAAAAAUGAAAAUGCAUGAGCAUAUACUGACUCCAUCCACAACAAUCGUUAAGCAAAUGCAGAUAUUAAAAGAUUCUCCAUUUUUAAUACUCAUUUAACUUAAACGAUUUUCACAACAAACAUUAAGCAAACCGAAGUAUUAAGAGAUUCCCCAUUCUUAAUACUCUUUUAACUUAAACGAUUUUCAAAACGAACAUUAAGUAAACAAGACAUUAAGAGAUUCCCCAUUCUUAAUACUCAUUUAACUUAAACGAUUUUCAAAACAAACAUUAAGUAAACAAGACAUUAAGAGAUUCCCCAUUCUUAAUACUCAUUUAACUUAAACGAUUUUCAAAACAAACAUUAAGUAAACAAGACAUUAAGAGAUUCCCCAUUCUUAAUACUCAUUUAACUUAAACGAUUUUCAAAACAAACAUUAAGUAAACAAGACAUUAAGAGAUUCCCCAUUCUUAAUACUCAUUUAACUUAAACUAAUUUAAAUUUCCACAACCCCACAUAAAUCACAUCUCCAAAUUCCAUCCACACCUAAAUUGAAUUAAAUUAAUUUUCAACCACGUCACACAUAAAUUUCUUCUAAAAAUUUCAUAAUAUUAAUUAUGAACACAUCAAUUUCACCAAACAUGAAUCACCAAAAUUUCCAAACAUUAAUCACCUAUAUUCAAUCUCCAAAAUUUUCAACCAUAAAUCACCACAACAAUAUUAAUAUAUCAGAGUUCUCCCCACCGCUAACUCGGUCCCAACGGUAUCGAUUCCUUUUCGAGACUCAAUGAGCUAACUACAUAAACAUGAAUAUUUAUAACAAUUUGUUCACAACAAAACUAAUCCAAACACAACACAAUUCCCAAAAUUAAAUCUUUCUCACACACCAAACUUUUAAAACUAAAUAAUCUAUAUUAUUUACUUAAAACUAAAUAAAACAAAUAUUCUCCAAAUUUCACAUACACAUACUCGACAAUUAAAGCACCAAAAAUUUUGAGUUAAUAAAAUACUCUAAACUUUUUUUUUUCUUUUUAAACUAAGUCCAAGAGUAAUUAAAAUAGUAACAUUUUAAACUCUAACCAUUGUUAACUUCAAUCUAUCUUUUUGCUCAAACUCUUUAACUUAGUUAAAAUUUGAACUUCUUCACAACUUUAACAACUCUAAAUUUUUCGUAAAAUUUCAACUUCAGUUCAAACUCAUUUAUUUGAAAAUAACUCAUUAUGUAACUCAAACACAUCAAAUUUAAUCACUACACAUAAAUCGCAUCAGAAAAAAAAGUUCAUAAUAUUAAUUAUGAACAUACAAUUCAUACCCAACAUUAAUCACUACACAACAUACCUCAAAACAAACUAAAUUCAAUUUCAACUAAUUUGCACCUCAAAUACAUCAAAUUUCUUUUCCCCAAAACCACAAAUAAUGUCCUAAAUGCAAACUAAAAGUUUGGAAGGAGCCCUUACCUUAACGAUAGCUCUAACACGCGAUUACGGUACCGUAAUUAAUUCUGAUAAAAACUUCGCUCAAGUCGUCACUUCCAAAGUUAGCUCACUAGCACCGCAGCGUGGCAAGGAGCAACUUU
rnacentral:lncRNA from 1 species